GUCUACCUUGAUAGGCCUGUACAAAAGACAGUUUUACUGCUUGAAGCAAAAUAAAGGUUAUGGUUGAAAUUAAGGUGGAAAGGUUUAAAUUGUGAGGUGAAAUGACAAAAUAGUCAUUUGGUGGGAGUAUAACUGCCAUACAUGUUGUUUCUGUUAUUUAACAUGUUUUGUUAAAUUUGUUUAAUCUAUUCAUGAAUAUUGAGCGUUUGUAACUAGGAACUAAAGUACAAUUGCGUUACACACGGACACUUUUUUAUGGUGCAACAGAGAAAAAGGACAUACAUUUUGGUGAAAAGGUAUUCUCCGUGUGUGAAUUUAAGAGUUACUCGUGUUUUGAGCAAAGAAGUAAAGAAGAUGUUUUCAUUUUUUGUUUGAAUCGGGUAUUUUCAAGUGAACUCAUUCUCUCUUGGUUAUAUGCAGCCAGCGAGUUUGACGGUGGAAUUCAUUGAUGAUGAGUGAGAUGGCGAAGAUAAGGAUGACAAGCGAAAUAAAUCCAUCGGUAACCAGAA